rnacentral:rRNA from 1 species
UACAGAGGGGGCAAGCGUUGUUCGGAAUUACUGGGCGUAAAGAGCGCGCAGGCGGUCGUUCAAGUCGCGUGUGAAAGCCCCCCGGCUCAACUGGGGAGGGUCACGCGAUACUGAUCGACUCGAAGGCAGGAGAGGGUAGUGGAAUUCCCGGUGUAGUGGUGAAAUGCGUAGAUAUCGGGAGGAACACCAGUGGCGAAGGCGACUACCUGGCCUGUUCUUGACGCUGAGGCGCGAAAGCUAGGGGAGCAAACGGGG